GGGGGUGACUGGUUUCGACUUGGGACGGUAGUUCCAGGAGAAGCGGGCCGAGGAUCCGGGGACAUCUCGUUAACGACUCCCGGAAACCAAUAAGUGCCGAUUCCAAUCGCACUGACUUCGCUCUCGCUGCCUGAGCAGUGAUCGAAGGGUCAGCCCGGGCGUAGCCUUCCGUCCGGUUCCUGGCCUCAUCUAGAAGGCUUGCUGCACCGACUGGGUUCCAGGGUUGGUGCGGGACUUCACUGGAACUGGGCUUGUUCACCACGCGCUGACGCGAGGGUGAGAGCCGAGUAGAACGACUAGUCAGCUGCGCCCGGAGAAGUCCUGGUUCACCUCUCGAGGACGCGGGUUCGAUUCCCGCCACCUCCACGA
rnacentral:tmRNA from 1 species